GGGCCCGUGGUGUAGGCAGGUUAACACGCCGGCCUGUCAAGCCGGAGAUCGGCGGUUCAAGUCCGCUCGGGCCCG
rnacentral:tRNA from 1 species